UGUUUUUUUUAAAACAAAACAAAGCCCUAAAGAAAAGUCAUCUUCUUCCCCUUCAUCUAACCCUAGCUGCCACCCUAUGGUUUCAUUUCCAUCGGCCAGCACCUCCCUCCGGCGGUCAUUGACAAGCAGCGGUGGAAUUCUAUCCCAACAACCGGCGACGACACCAUGAACCCGUCGUAGACGUCGCUUGAUACAGUAGUUCAGUCAUGUCUCCUAGUAGCAGCGGCGCGUCAUUUCGAUCGGUGGCAACUCGUACCAGAUCUUUGGUCGCGCGACAUUGAGGUUCCUCCAGCGGCUUUUUCAAGCAACCCCAACCACGAACAAUCAGAUCCAGUGACCCGUGCCCGAACUCGUGUCGAUCAGUGGUUCGGCAGCAACUUUUGGUGGCCACAAAAAGCGUUCUACUUGAUGGCUCACAUCCUUCAGCGUUGUUUUUACAGCCACCCGCACCCCGACAUAAACAGUAGCAGACACGCGAAGGUUUCUUUGUUCCGGCGAGACUCGGGUUGACCCAUCCUUGUUUGGAGCUGGUUUCGAGUUACCAACACGCAAACGGGACUAGAUUUGAGUUACAUGCCACUAUUCAGAUACAAAUAGACAUUACCCAUUGCUUUUCGGCAUCGGACCAGCAAGCGCAAAGCCGACUUAGAUUUGGAAGUCCGAACCUCCUUGGCGUCGACCCACUCCUAACCCAAGAGGUUUUAGUGUGAGUUAGUAGGUAACGAAUUCAGUAAACUUUGUUUCGAUUAAAAUUAAGCAUUUUUAGAUGAACUCGAACCUGAGUUUGGUUGUUUUGGAUUUAGGAACCGUUCGACGAGCUUAGUAGCGCGUUAGGACCUUCGUUGCAGAGUUCGUUGUGCUCGAGCGGAGCAGAUUACACCAUCAGGUUUUGUCCUUCAUGUGUGGUUGUUUGGCGAUUGGUCGAGCUUGAUGAAUAGGAAAGGAGAUAUGCCAUUCGUUUAUACCUUAAUCAAAUAUUUCAAAAUGAACAUAAUAAAAAAAAAUCAAUGUUCUAAAGUU